CACGUAGGGUGCGAGCGUUAUCCGGAAUUAUUGGGCGUAAAGAGCUCGUAGGCGGUUUGUCACGUCUGCUGUGAAAACUGGAGGCUCAACCUCCAGCCUGCAGUGGGUACGGGCAGACUAGAGUGCGGUAGGGGAGAUUGGAAUUCCUGGUGUAGCGGUGGAAUGCGCAGAUAUCAGGAGGAACACCGAUGGCGAAGGCAGAUCUCUGGGCCGUAACUGACGCUGAGGAGCGAAAGCAUGGGGAGCGAACAGG
rnacentral:rRNA from 1 species